rnacentral:rRNA from 1 species
UGGGGAAUAUUGCACAAUGGGAGAAAGCCUGAUGCAGCGACGCCGCGUGAGCGAAGAAGUAUUUCGGUAUGUAAAGCUCUAUCAGCAGGGAAGAAAAUGACGGUACCUGACUAAGAAGCCCCGGCUAACUACGUGCC